rnacentral:rRNA from 1 species
UACAGAGGGUGCAAGCGUUAAUCGGAAUUACUGGGCGUAAAGCGCACGUAGGCGGCUUUGUAAGUUAGAGGUGAAAGCCCAGGGCUUAACCCUGGAAUUGCCUUUAAGACUGCAUCGCUAGAAUCGUGGAGAGGUAAGUGGAAUUCCGAGUGUAGAGGUGAAAUUCGUAGAUAUUCGGAAGAACACCAGUGGCGAAGGCGACUUACUGGACACGUAUUGACGCUGAGGUGCGAAAGCGUGGGGAGCAAACAGG